GCCUUUGUAGUGUAACUGUAGCAUACUCGGCUUGUAUUCGUGAAGUCCAGGUUCUAAUCCCGGCAAAGGCA
rnacentral:tRNA from 1 species